ACGCUAGCUACAGGCUUAACACAUGCAAGUCGAGGGGAAACGGCAUUAAGUGCUUGCACUUUUUGGACGUCGACCGGCGCACGGGUGAGUAACGCGUAUCCAACCUUCCCAUGACUAAGGGAUAACCUGCCGAAAGGCAGACUAAUACCUUAUGGUCUUCACUGACGGCAUCAGAUGUGAAGUAAAGAUUUAUCGGUUAUGGAUGGGGAUGCGUCUGAUUAGCUUGUUGGCGGGGUAACGGCCCACCAAGGCAACGAUCAGUAGGGGUUCUGAGAGGAAGGUCCCCCACAUUGGAACUGAGACACGGUCCAAACUCCUACGGGAGGCAGCAGUGAGGAAUAUUGGUCAAUGGGCGAGAGCCUGAACCAGCCAAGUAGCGUGCAGGAUGACGGCUCUAUGGGUUGUAAACUGCUUUUGUAUGGGGAUAAAGUCAGUCACGUGUGAUUGUUUGCAGGUACCAUACGAAUAAGGACCGGCUAAUUCCGUGCCAGCAGCCGCGGUAAUACGGAAGGUCCGGGCGUUAUCCGGAUUUACUGGGUUUAAAGGGAGCGUAGGCUGGAGAUUAAGUGUGUUGUGAAAUGUAGACGCUCAACGUCUGACUUGCAGCGCAUACUGGUUUCCUUGAGUACGCACAACGUUGGCGGAAUUCGUCGUGUAGCGGUGAAAUGCUUAGAUAUGACGAAGAACUCCGAUUGCGAAGGCAGCUGACGGGAGCGCAACUGACGCUGAAGCUCGAAGGUGCGGGUAUCGAACAGGAUUAGAUACCCUGGUAGUCCGCACAGUAAACGAUGGAUGCCCGCUGUUGGUACUUGGUAUCAGCGGCUAAGCGAAAGCAUUAAGCAUCCCACCUGGGGAGUACGCCGGCAACGGUGAAACUCAAAGGAAUUGACGGGGGCCCGCACAAGCGGAGGAACAUGUGGUUUAAUUC
rnacentral:rRNA from 1 species